UACGUAGGGGGCGAGCGUUGUCCGGAAUUAUUGGGCGUAAAGAGCUCGUAGGCGGCUUAGUAAGUCGGCGGUGAAAUUCCGAGGCUCAACCUCGGCACUGCCGUCGAUACUGCUAUGGCUAGAGUUUGGUAGAGGAGAACGGAAUUCCCGGUGUAGCGGUGGAAUGCGCAGAGAUCGGGAGGAACACCAAUGGCGAAAGCAGGUAACUGGACUAUUACUGACACUCAGCUGCGAAAGCUAGGGGAGCAAACAGG
rnacentral:rRNA from 1 species